rnacentral:rRNA from 1 species
AGUCGAACGAAGACAUCUGAGUGCUUGCACUUGGAUGGACUGAGUGGCGGACGGGUGAGUAACGCGUGGGUAACCUGCCUUAUACAGGGGGAUAACAGUUGGAAACGACUGCUAAUACCGCAUAAGCGCACGGUAUCGCAUGAUACAGUGUGAAAAACUCCGGUGGUAUAAGAUGGACCCGCGUCUGAUUAGCUAGUUGGUGAGGUAACGGCCCACCAAGGCGACGAUCAGUAGCCGGCCUGAGAGGGUGAACGGCCACAUUGGGACUGAGACACGGCCCAAACUCCUACGGGAGGCAGCAGUGGGGAAUAUUGCACAAUGGGGGAAACCCUGAUGCAGCGACGCCGCGUGAGUGAUGAAGUAUUUCGGUAUGUAAAACUCUAUCAGCAGGGAAGAUAAUGACGGUACCUGACUAAGAAGCACCGGCUAAAUACGUGCCAGCAGCCGCGGUAAUACGUAUGGUGCAAGCGUUAUCCGGAUUUACUGGGUGUAAAGGGUGCGUAGGUGGUAUGGCAAGUCAGAAGUGAAAGGCUGGGGCUCAACCCCGGGACUGCUUUUGAAACUGUCAAACUAGAGUACAGGAGAGGAAAGCGGAAUUCCUAGUGUAGCGGUGAAAUGCGUAGAUAUUAGGAGGAACACCAGUGG